CAUCGCGGAUCGCCUUGAGUUGAUCAUGGCUCAGAAUCAACGCUGGCGGCGUGCCUAACACAUGCAAGUCGAACGCGGUUUCCCCGCAAGGGGAGACUGAGUGGCGAACGGGUGAGUAACACGUGGGUGACCUACCUUCGAGUGGGGGAUAACGUCCCGAAAGGGACGCUAAUACCGCAUAACAUCCUGCCUUUGAACAGGCGGAGAUCAAAGCCGGGGAUCGUAAGACCUGGCGCUUGAUGAGGGGCCCGCGUCCGAUUAGCUAGUUGGUGAGGUAAUGGCUCACCAAGGCAACGAUCGGUAGCCGGCCUGAGAGGGCGGACGGCCACACUGGGACUGAGACACGGCCCAGACUCCUACGGGAGGCAGCAGUGGGGAAUUGUUCGCAAUGGGCGCAAGCCUGACGACGCAACGCCGCGUGGAGGAUGAAGGUCUUCGGAUUGUAAACUCCUGUUGCUCGGGACGAAUGACUACGACUUAACACGUCGUAGUGUGACGGUACCGGGUGAGGAAGCCCCGGCUAACUCUGUGCCAGCAGCCGCGGUAAUACAGAGGGGGCAAGCGUUGUUCGGAAUUACUGGGCGUAAAGGGCGCGUAGGCGGCCUGUUAAGUCGAACGUGAAAUCCCCGGGCUCAACCCGGGAACUGCGUCCGAUACUGGCAGGCUUGAAUCCGGGAGAGGGAUGCGGAAUUCCAGGUGUAGCGGUGAAAUGCGUAGAUAUCUGGAGGAACACCGGUGGCGAAGGCGGCAUCCUGGACCGGCAUUGACC
rnacentral:rRNA from 1 species